GGAGUCUGCAACUCGACUCCAUGAAGCUGGAUUCGCUAGUAAUCGCGCAUCAGCCAUGGCGCGGUGAAUACGUUCCCGGGCCCUUGUACACACCGCCCGUCAAGCCAUGGAAGCCGGGGGUGCCUGAAGUGCGUGACCGCAAGGAGCGCCCUAAGGUAAAACCGGUGACUGGGGCUAAGUCGUAACAAGGUACC
rnacentral:rRNA from 1 species